rfam:Streptomyces cyaneogriseus subsp. noncyanogenus strain NMWT 1, complete genome.
UUUGACCGAACCGAGCCACAGUGGCUGUUCCUGCGCACGUCCCUGGCCGUAGGUGGCGAGCAGGGCCUGGGCUUC